UGGUUCUGGCAUCGAUGAAGAACGCAGCGAAAUGCGAUAAGUAAUGUGAAUUGCAGAAUUCAGUGAAUCAUCGAAUCUUUGAACGCAUAUUGCGCCCCCUGGUAUUCCGGGGGGCAUGCCUGUUCGAGCGUCAUUGCACCCCUCAAGCCUGGCUUGGUCUUGGGCCUCCGUCCGUCGUGGACGGGUCCGAAAACGAGUGGCGACCCGAUGUGACUUCGGGCAAAAGUAAAUUUUUCAACCUGCUCUGGAAGUUUCACACCGCGGUCGGCCAGCGAAACCUUUUCUCCAACAAUUGACCUCGGAUCAGGUAGGAAUACCCGCUGA
rnacentral:misc_RNA from 1 species